rnacentral:rRNA from 1 species
AGGACGACGCUGGCGGCGUGCCUAACACAUGCAAGUCGAGCGAAUGAAGUUUCUUCGGGAACGGAUUUAGCGGCGGACGGGUGAGUAACACGUGGGCAACCUGCCUCAUAGAGGGGAAUAGCCUUCCGAAAGGGAGAUUAAUACCGCAUAAGAUUGUAGUACCGCAUGGUACAGCAAUUAAAGGAGCAAUCCGCUAUGAGAUGGGCCCGCGGCGCAUUAGCUAGUUGGUGAGGUAACGGCUCACCAAGGCGACGAUGCGUAGCCGACCUGAGAGGGUGAUCGGCCACAUUGGGACUGAGACACGGCCCAGACUCCUACGGGAGGCAGCAGUGGGGAAUAUUGCACAAUGGGGGAAACCCUGACGCAGCAACGCCGCGUGAAGGAUGAAGGUCUUCGGAUUGUAAACUUUUGUCUUAUGGGAAGAAAAAAAUGACGGUACCAUAGGAGGAAGCCACGGCUAACUACGUG